CAGACUAUCACAGGGCUGACACAGAGACAGAGUCAACAAUGAAUCUAACCUGCAUGUCUUUGGGACUGUCCGGAGGGGAGCCAGAGAACCCGGAGAGAACCCACGCUAACACGGGGGAGAACAUGCUACCUCCACACAGAAGGGCACCACAAGCGACCCUCUAGGCUGUGAGGCGACAGUGCUUACCACUGCACCACCGUGCAAGCCCUACUUUUCAUAAGCUCAUUUUAUUUUUCAAUUCCUUAGUUUUCCUAGUUUUUGGGAUCUUAGUACACUUAAUAGAGGGCUCCAGGGAUGACGUAUUUUUGUUGGCCAGCCAAGAAGUUAGCAUCGACCGUGGUUCCCUCAACAAAAAGCCAAUGAGAUUGUUCCAUUUGGUUUUGGAUUAUUGCAGAAAAUCAGCUUUGUUGCAAUACACACGUUGAUACUGAUACGUUUGUUCAGCAAGAUAAUCUCCACUAAUGAACACCACUUCUAUGAUUUUUGAAGUGUGAAUUCAAUCACCAGAAGUAAAAAGCUAACGUUAGGCUAUAAACAAACUACACCACGGUCACUGAACGAGGUUUCGUCUGAUAAUGGCGAGUGGAGUGAGAGAAGAUGAAGAGGAGGAGGUGAAAGAACAGAGAGGGAGUGAGUUAAUGAGGAGUGAAUGGAAGGGGAGCGGAGUGCCUUUGAAACCAUAUAAACCCAACUGAAAAUGAAAAAUGACAUUCCUGAGUGGUGGAACAGAGCGAGGACUGUCAUCAGAGAGGGAAGUCUGGGAUGACGGAUGGACUGCAGGGAGGACGGGCGUAGAUAGAUUGAGAGUGGACAGAAAAUGAGUGUGUACACACAGCUGCAGAGGGUGGACUCGGACCUCAUCAUCUCCGGUGGAACCACCAAAUAAACAGGACAAGGUUAUUUUCAAAUACUCCCUGUCUCACACAGACACUUAAACUGGGACAGUGAGACAGAGCUGGAGGGGAAAUAGACGUUCAAAUGAUUAAAAUGACUUUCAACCAUCACCA